CACUCCUCCGAAGGCCCCUGUGUCUCUGGACUCCACCUCUUCAUCCACACCCUCAUCCUUCUUACUGAGCCAGCCCCAUGUCACUCGUUCCUGGAUAGCCCAGCCUCCAGCCCUUCCCAGCUUCUGUACUGCAGACCCUUCCUAUUUGGGAACAUCCCAACCACCUCUAGCCCUUUGUGGGGUUAUCUCUCCACUCUGGACCUCACUGGUCUCCUCCAUCAGCAACAUGCCGACACAGUUCUCCCUAAGCCUACCAAUGACUCUCUCCCCCUCCCCCCCAUCCUCCACUAAAGCCAAGAGACUGGAUAUUCUUCUAGUAUCCAGCAGCCUGGGGACCCUAAAGCCCAGAUGGACGGGCCCACACACACCAGGUACUUCUGACCACACCGAAGGCGGCCAAGUUACAGGGAUAUCCUUCCUCACUCCACUCUUCUUCAGUUGAAGUGAGCCCCUGCUCCCCAGGCUCCAACAGUCUGUUUGUAUUGGAGUGUCAGCCUCGGACCAACCCACUCAAAUUCACAAAAAUUCCCAAGGAACUUCCCUGACUAAGUAGGGACAGCUCUAUGCCCCACCUGAGCAGGAAGAAGCUGCAGAAGAAUGAGAUCAAUCUCCCUCAUCAGCCCCAGUUCACAGAAGGAAAAUAAAAGGAUAGAACAUUAGGCAUAUUCUGAAUCAUUCCCCUGCACUCAGUACUUUUCCAUUGUACCACACUUGGAUCUCGUGCUCUCUCUGCACUUUUUCUGUUAUUAUUUCAGGUGUCACAGAGAAAGCUGAAGGGCUAAGAAAAUCAGCUUUAGACCUGGCUGCUUGUGCCUGCAUCCGGUUCCCAGGGACCUUCAUGAGAGGCAUAAAUAUCCCACACCCCCUACUCUUGCUUACUGACAUGGCUAUACUGGUCUCGGCCCACUUUGAGAGGAUGUAAUAAAAUUUCUUAAA